CCUCACAUAAUUUACAAAACCCUCAUCAAUGAAGGACAAGGGAGAAAAGCAAAAAGAUAGGAUUACACUUUCACUUUCAUUUCACUUUUCUUCCACUUUCAUUUCUAAUUCAAAGUCCAAACAAAGCAUUAGUGAAGAAUGAGAUUACAGAAGAAGAAGGAAUAGGGUUUCUGCGCUGGAAAUAUCAUUCAGUUCUAUAACUACAUGCUUCAUGCUUGGCCUAUUCAUGGAAGUUGGAGCUACACAAGCCAUUGCAGUAUCCAAAGCUUUCAUUGCAGAGGAAAUAUCAAAUUCUCCUUGUAAUCUCGGAUCUACAAUAUCCUUUACCUCUCUUUCCACCAGCGUGGAACUAACCCACUGAAUAAUAUGGAUUUUUUCUUCAGUUUUGGUUAUGGCAGGUUGUCCUGUUAUUAUCUCAAGCAAAACUACCCCGAAACUGAAAACAUCACUUUUUUCUCUUAGCUUGCUUAGUCUAUUGUACCUGCAAAAUAAAGCUUUCAACUUAAAAUGAAGCUUAUAUUGAAAGAUAGAGAUAAUAAGAACUUACUCUGGAUCAAGGUAUCCUGGUGUGCCAGCAACAACCGUGAAGACAUGAGUGUCACCUUCAUUAGGAAAUAUCUUUGACAACCCAAAAUCAGCUAAUUUUCCCUGGAGUUUUUCAUUUAGUAAGAUGUUUUUGGAUUUAACAUCUCUGUGAACAAUUGGUGGAUUACAGCCAUGAUGCAAAUACUCCAAUCCUACAGUUGAAUGUUGAAAUUAAGUAAAGCUUUGUUUCAGAAGAUAGAUCCUUGAGCUGAUGAGGAAGAUAGCAUUUUGACAGCUACCUCAGUAUCAUCAUCAAUCCAGCCAUGGUAGACUGUUCCAGAUGCUCCUUUUCCCACAACCUUUUCAAAGUUUCUGGUAAUGCUUAAUACUUCUUCAUAGGUGAAUUCUUGUUUCUUUGAUUCUAGUUCCUGCUUUAUUCUUGAAUAAGCACCAACCUUGCUCAGCUGAUGGGAAGCUGGGACGAAGCAAACACAUUCAUUAUCGAAAUGGAAGAAAAAGUGCAGUUUUUCGUUGCAGUAUUUACAUUUGAGUUUAAUUUUGAUACACAGUGAGCAUAGUCAAUAGAAUAAAAACAUGUACCUUGGUGUCUCUUGUAGUAUAUGCGAAAAGAAAUCAUUGCUACUGCUAGUACCACGACAGCUCCUCCAAGUGAAGCUACUAAUGGAACCACAACCUUAUUUCGAUUCCCCUUGUUGCAUGAACCUGAGGAGCAAAGAUUUGGAUUUCCACCAAAACUUGCAUUUAAAGCUCUGCAGGUACAAAGGGUUGACUAUAUUUAAAAGCUUCCCGUUUACAAAAAUGUUGAACUCUCUAAUUUGAUUUGGCUCGAGUUUCUGGAUUUCAGCAAAGUACAAAUACACGUAAUAUCUGGAGGCAUUAUACUUGGGAAGGAAGUGAAACUCUAUAUUGUCACUGUCUUUUUCUGGAAUUAAUGUUGUUCGCAUGACAGCGGAGGAUGGUAGCGGUAAGAAAUUGAAAAAAGGUGCUCCUUGGUCUAUGCAAUGACAACCAAUUCUCUGAAGUUUACUUUGUUGACAAUUUUCAUCUUUGCCAUGGCUCUUUCUCCAAUUUUACCAUGCGGUGCUGCACGCGAUUUAGUAGCAGUUAAUAAGGUGAUAUGUAUUCAGUGUGUGUGUUGCACUCCACCACCACCAGGAACUUGCUGCAAAAAGUGUUGUGCUUCUUCUUCUCCACCUCAAACUGAGACCAUUGGGCAAUCUCCAUAGUAGAGAAAUCACAUGCCUUACUAUAAUAUUUGUGUAAGAAUCAUUCUCAUAGUCAUAAUGUUACUAUAAUUAUCAAGGACUGGAUUUCAUAUAAGAAAUUAGAUCUUUAAAGUUAUAAAUUGGUUUGUGACUUACAAAUUAAAAAUUAAAAACCGCAGAAUGUGCUGUACAAAUAAAAAACCGAAAACAAAAUUAAAAUAAGAUAAUAAGAAGAAUACUUAGAUACAAUUAUUUAGGUGUGAUUUGUAUUAUUUUUCAAUGAUAAUAUGAUAAGUGUAUAAUUUCCUCUUACACAUAUGUAAUUUUCUUCUAUUUUCACUCCUUAAAUGAUGUUAAAGUACACUUGUCAUAUUUUCAUUGGCAAAUAGCAUAAACCACACUUAAGAAAUUGUAGGUAAGUUUUUUCAAUUAAUAAACACUAAAAUUUUGCAACCCCUGCUAAAUGGAUGUAAAACGAAAAUAAAUAAAAAAAAGGUAUAAUUUUGCUCGCGUACGGUGACACUUUAGACAACGCCAUACCAACUUUAGACAGCGUGAUACUAAUUUUUACCUAAAGUCAUUCUACCUUUCACACAAAAAAGUAGAGAAUCUUUACCCAUGUUUCAACCAUUCUCCUUAUAUCUUUUCUAAUUGUGAUUUAAUAACUGCAAAUUAUUUCAAUAUUAUUUCAAUGUGAUAAAAAAGACAAAGUCCAUUUUAUUUUCUAAUAUUAAAAUAACUUAAUUCGUAAAACCUUUUUCUUUUCCAUAUUUUUUUAUCUUAAUGUAAAAAUGAAAACAAGAUCUUUAGAAUAUGUUUGGAUUGAUGAAACAAAAUGGAAUGAGAUGUAAUAAAAUAGAAUUGUAUAAACUUAAGUUUUAUUGUUUGGAUUAAAUAAAAAAGGAUGGAAUGGAGCGGAACCGAAUGAAAAGAAUUUCAUCGUAUUCCAUCACUAUUCAUCAUUUUUGUACCCUCUGAUUUGGACGGAGUGACAAAACCUAUUUAUUUCGUCAUGAGAUACUCAAAUGGAAUGCCAUCUUUAUUCUAUUUUGUUCUGCUCCGCUUCAUUCUGCUCCGUUCGUUUCACAACAUUCAAACAUAGUCUUAGUUUAAGAAUAUAAAGGGGGAAAGAGGAGUUGCACGGGUUCAAGAUGAAUAGUCGACAACAAAUUCACAAAACAACUGAAAAUAGGGAGAGUGAGAGUUGCAAAUGAUUCACUUAAAAUGAAAAUAGGAUCUUUAAUUUAAGAAUAUGAAGGAAAAUAAAAGAGAAGUUGCAAGAUGAAGAAAAGUGGAAGAAUGAGAGUUGUAGGGUUUAAAGAUGAAUAAUCAACAAAAAAUUCACAAAUGAAAAUAGGGAGAGCGAGAGUUGCAUGUGACUCACUUAAAGAUCUAUUGCAUGAAUGAUGAGAGUACAACACAAUAAAUAAAUUUGGAGAUUGUUCUUUCUAUCCUUAGUAGUGAAGAACCACUCGUAGGAAACUCGAAAAUUCCCUUGGAGAAAAGACAUAACUUAACGCUUCGUACACUCCCUACACACACCAAAACACUUCGUAAGUGAGCCACCGCCCCCAUUUUGCCAAAAAAUAAUUCAAAAGUUAACCUCCGUAUUGAUUAAAGGGUGAGUCUGUAGGUUAAGUUCUAGACUAACUCUUGGACACUUUUUUAACCCAUAAUGUGUGUUUAUUAGGUCAACUCAAUGGAUAUUAUGGAAGUUAAUUUCAAUAUUAACCCUCAGGAUAACAAAUUUUCUUCUUAGGCAGUAUUUUUGUUUAAAAAAUUGACAUAUUUAACAAACCUUAUAUAAUUCAAUCAAACUAUACAUUGAUCACCAAAUACAAUGAAAAUACUAUAUAUAAUUCAGUCAAACCAUACAUUUAUGUAAGUAAAUCAAACUACCAUAUAUUCAGUUAAAAUGCAAACCAUACAUUAUUCACAAAAUACAUAUCAAAAUACAAAUGAUCAAAAUUCAAAGAAAAGUUAACUAUUGUAUAUAUCUGAUCCUCUAGUUCCCCCGUUGCCUCUUGUACUAUAAGACAUUACAUAUCUCGCCUAUCACGACCUCUAUAAUGGCCUUCCUAGGAGUGCUUUUUGAAACUCUUCUCUCUAUGUCUCUCUAUACGCGCUAGCUCAACAACUACAAUACACCGACAUGCACGUAAUACAUGAUUUUCCCUAGCUUGCUCCUCCUCUAAUAUCUCUUAAUGAGCUGCUUAGGUGGCUCUCCCUUUUUAUUCGAUGUCAUAUAAGGAUGUAACACUCUGAAAAACCAUUGGAUGUAGCCCAAUGCAGAACUCCAUGAACAUUGAGCUAGUAAACUUUGUACAUCCUCUGAGACCAAUGAUCGAGGUACUCCGCAAAUAUCUCGUCAACAUCUUUGCGGUAAAAUGUGGGAGAAGCAUCAACGUCGAGGGCUCUAGAAAUUCCCUAUAGAAUCGAAGUGGCAAGUGACUCGCUCAGGUAGAUGCAUAUACAUCAGUUGUAAUCCACAAGCCAACCAUAUGGAGUAGAAUGAUGUCUCAUUGAAGGAGCGUGUCUCUUGGUGAUCGUCACACGGUGUGAAGUUUAUAUCCUUUGUCGUAAUGCAAUUAAGAUAAACUCUAAACAACUUGGUCACUUGAUUGUCCCUGGGUGGGAUGAAGGAGAAAGCGCAUGGGAAAGCCUCAUCGUAUGCAUUCAUAUAUGCUCAGCCGGAGAGGCUUGGAAAGUGUUUGAGGAUCAAUGCCUAAAAAUGAUACAUAUGAAAUAUUAGUAACAAUGAAGCACAGUCGUUAUGAAAUAUUAGUAACAGUAAAUAUGCAAAUAUAUUGCCGUAAAUAAGGUGUUACUUGCUGUCAUAUGUCUAGUUUUCCAUAAAUAAGCUUCAUUUAACUUGGAGUACGGGUAAACCUAACAAGAGGCCCCUCAAUUGUACUCAUUAAUGCUCUCCAAGUCAAUGAAGUAUCUCAGAUAGAGGACAUCGACACAAUAUGCACUUUUGUACACAAAUAUGGAUAUGCAACCCAGAUAUAAAAGCUAUGACCUCAUUGCACAUAUUCUAUGACGUGCUACAUGUGCAUCAUCACCAUCAACUGUCGCAUCCAGGUGGUAUUUGUACAUCCUCUCCAUAAAUACAACUCUAGCAUGACAUCCUCUGGUGUCAUCCAUCUCUUGUUAAGCGUCACUAAAUCCAUCUUCCAAAUAUUGCACCAUCAUAUCUAGUGAGUCUGAAGUAGUUUAAAAAUAUAUCCAUGAUCAGAAGAUGUAGAAGGGAUGGCACAUCAUCAAGUGUGAUGGACUUAUCACCGAUAAAAAGAUGGAAUGAACGAAUUUCUGAGUGCCAUCUCUCGAUAAAAAUAGAUAGCAAACCAUGGUUACUAAAAUAUAUACAAUCCAGGAUAAAUCUUGUAUCCCAGAUAGCUACAUGACAUCCAUAUACCAUGAUUCAUCGGGCUGUGGCAACUUCCUAAUCUUGCAACUGUGGUUGAUACAUUUUAACGCCUCAUGGUGUUGUAAAAAACUAUACCAACGUUAGAAUGUUCAAAUCUUAUAACGCCAGAAUGUUUAAAAUAAUAAAUACAGAUUUAUUUUACAUCUCCGUCCCAUAUAUGUCUGACAACAUGGUCUGCAUAUAGAGAAAGCAGUGAAGUGUUUGAGGGGUCUUCUAGAUAAACAUCAGGAGCGACAAUAGUAGGUUGGGCUUGUGGGAUAUCAAGGGUAGCAGCAGGGGACUCAUGUCUCCGGGAGGACGAUGAAGAAGAUGAAUGAACUUCACAAGACGGUGCUUCAACAUCAAAUGAAAUGGCACAAACGGCUAGACAAGAGGAUCUAGCUCUUUCUAUCUGAACGGAGGCAUGUUGGGCCACUCUACCAUGCCUCAGUAUGUCUAUGUUGGCAAACAUUUAACCUGUAAUUACUCCAGAAAAAUUAUACCAUAAUCGAAGAAGUCAAACCCAAGAAACAUAACAGGCAAAAUCAAAAAAGCAAUGCAAAACAACAAAAUUCGAAAGUUAACUUCCGCAUUUGCAGAACAACAAAAUGCGGAAGUUAACUUCUAUAUCCUCCUGAAACUAGAAAACAAAAGAAAAUAGCAUGCCCAAAUACUUUAACUUCAAACAUAAAAUAAUUUACAUGCAUGUCUUACUAAACAACCUAUUAUGCGUCAUAAUACCAUAAACAACCUAUAAUGCGUCAUAAUGUACCAUAAACAGCCCAUAGUACGUUUAACUUCAAAAUAAUGCAUCAAAAACUAAAGAAAGAAAGAAAAUGAAAAACUUACCGAAUGUAAAAAGUCUACGAUUUUCAAUUGACUGAAGUGGGGUGGAGGUUGAUUGAUAUCCUAAACUUUAAUGCAAAGUAAUACAAAUAGGGAGAAAGUUUGAAAACCAUAAAAAAUAAGUUUUUCACGAGCUUUGUUUUUACUAAUAUUCUUUAUACUUGAAAUGAUAUUCAGUGUUAUCAUAAACACGAAUAUCAUGAACAUUAAAAAAAAAAGGAAAUAUCUUAGAAUAUAUUUAUCUAGAUCAUUUGAAUUGUAUGUUAUCAUCCUAUCAUGAUAAUAAUAAAAAUAAAAUAAGAGUGAGCCAAAUUAGUUCCCCUUAAAAAGAGUCAUAUGUGUGCAUCAAUAAUAUAUUCUAUUAUACAUCGUCUCCAAAAUUAAACUACUUAUACCUUCUUAAAUUAUACCUUCUUAAAUUAUGUUACA